AUGAGUCCACCAUACCUUCCUAUAUGCGGUAUUUACCUACCGUUCCAAGUAAAUUUGUAUGUGCCAAACUCCAAACCUUCAAAUGAAAUUCUGUUUUGUAUACUCGAGCAGCUCAUGUUUCCACUAGGUUUGCGUAUAUAUUCCAUGCUAGGUGGGUUAUUCUCAAGAGGAGUGGACUCCGCUCCUCAUUCACGAGAAAGGGCCGGUAACCGGGAUGCCCAGUCCCAUGAUCCAAAAAGAUCAAAGCAAAUCAAUAUAAUUAAACAAAACUCCCUCAGGAUUGUUGUUAGUUGGAGGCACUCGUUAUUUCGAGCAAGCCAUGGAUUGAUUCUUGUUGGUGGUUGGGGGAGUAUAAACUUUUACCAUUCUGCGUGA
rnacentral:rRNA from 1 species